rnacentral:rRNA from 1 species
UACGGAGGGUGCAAGCGUUAUCCGGAUUCACUGGGUUUAAAGGGAGCGCAGGCGGAUUGGUAAGUCAGUGGUGAAAGGCUUAAGCUUAACUUGGGAACUGCCAUUGAUACUAUCAGUCUUGAAUGUUGUUGAGGUUUGCGGAAUGGGUCAUGUAGCGGUGAAAUGCAUAGAUAUGACCCGGAACACCUAUUGCGAAGGCAGCAGACUAAACAAAUAUUGACGCUGAGGCUCGAAAGCGUGGGGAUCAAACAGG